UGGUAAAAAAAAACUGCAAUAUGUAUGCAGGUUGGUGGCUUUGAGAAGCUUAUUUGGCUGCAAACCACUAUUACCUUCUAUGGGCAAGAGCACAGUAUAUUAUGGUGUAGCAGGAAAUGGUUCGGUUCUCAACCAUGGAAAGGCUAAAGAUCUGAACCUUGUUGCUAGUGCGGCCAAAGAUGGUGGUCUAAAUGUCCUGUGACAUUCCAAACACAAACGAUGCAAAUUCCUUUACCUAGACUCAAAAUUCUGAGACUACUAUUUUCAUAAUCAGUAAAUUUUGGAUAAAUAUGUAAUUCAGUUUCUUACAGAACAGUGUAAUGUAGUUAUUCUAGGAGAAAUUGAUUGUAUAUGGUGUAAACUAAAUCCAUAUGCAAUUAGUUGCUUGUUGACAUUUUUCAUUUUUAUUUUAUUGUAGUAGAUUUAAAAAUUUUAAUAAUAUGCAUGUUCUUUUUUACUAUUAAUAGUAUGAACUAUCUUUUUUGAUUAA